GUGGUAAUACCGGAUGCUCCGCUCCAUCGCAUGGUGGGGUGGGAAAUGCUUUUGCGGCAUGGGAUGGGGUCGCGUCCUAUCAGCUUGUUGGCGGGGUGAUGGCCCACCAAGGCGUUGACGGGUAGCCGGCCUGAGAGGGUGACCGGCCACAUUGGGACUGAGAUACGGCCCAGACUCCUACGGGAGGCAGCAGUGGGGAAUAUUGCACAAUGGGCGCAAGCCUGAUGCAGCGACGCCGCGUGCGGGAUGGAGGCCUUCGGGUUGUAAACCGCUUUUGUUCAAGGGCAAGGCACGGUUUCGGCCGUGUUGAGUGGAUUGUUCGAAUAAGCACCGGCUAACUACGUGCCAGCAGCCGCGGUAAUACGUAGGGUGCGAGCGUUAUCCGGAUUUAUUGGGCGUAAAGGGCUCGUAGGCGGUUCGUCGCGUCCGGUGUGAAAGUCCAUCGCCUAACGGUGGAUCUGCGCCGGGUACGGGCGGGCUGGAGUGCGGUAGGGGAGACUGGAAUUCCCGGUGUAACGGUGGAAUGUGUAGAUAUCGGAAAAAAACACCA
rnacentral:rRNA from 1 species